UUUUUUUUUUUUUUAUAUUUCCCCAGCGAAUAAGUCCCUUUCUUAGGUCUUGCAAAGAUUCUCCAAUGAUGCCGCUCUUCCUUCGUUCGUUCGUCUCGCAUUACAUCAUGCCAAGACGUUUGAUUGCUUCCGUUUACAUUUUUUCCGACAACAAUAUUUGCAGAACUGAAGCAAUCGGAAGAGUGAAGAAAUCAAAGUUUACAAACAUUCUAAACCCACCUGCCAUAAGAAACAACUCCCAGCAUUUAACUCCGUUUCAAUUACCUUUUAUGUUACAUAUAUGCGAUAUAAUUGAAAUGGGUUGGCCUUUGAAAUGCUCAUACAGUGAUGAAUAUUUCAUUUAAUCGUAUUUUUAUGAACAAA